rnacentral:lncRNA from 1 species
CCCGUGAAGAAGUGCUGGGAUGUUUCUCAAAUGGGCCGUGAAGAUGUGGACAACGCAUGCUUGCUGCCAGGUGGAGUGUUGUUGGCAUGUCCUUCGAUCACCGCUUAAUUGCAUGGGCCAUUUUUUUACUUUUAGGUGAAUAAAGCUUGCUGCAGCGUGGAAGAGUGAACUUGUACCGUUUGCACACUUCCUUAGCAGCUACAUG